rnacentral:rRNA from 1 species
UAUUAUAAUAUAUUUAAAGAAUAUGAGAUUAGAGUAGUAAUAGUUAAGAUCUUGAAACUCAAAGAAUUUGACGGUGUUUUAGUCCUUUCAGAGGAAUCUGUCCUGUAAUUGAUAAUACACGAUUUAUUAUACUUUCUUUUGUUUGACAAUUUGUAUACCGCCGUCAUAAGAUUAUCUUAAAGAGAGGAUAAAAUUUCUUUAAUUUAUAUUAAUAAAUAUGUCAGGUCAAGGUGCAGUAUAUAAGAAAGGGGGAGAUGGAUUACAAUAAUAAUAAUUAUAUGGAUGCUUAAGUAUAAUAGUAAGUUGAAGGUGGAUUUGAUUGUAAAUGUGGAAUGGAAUGUUGUAUUGAUUAGGGCUCUAAAAUGUGUACACAUCGCCCGUCGCUCUCGUAUUUUAUAUGAG